rnacentral:sRNA from 1 species
CGUACCGACCCGCUUAAUCGUGAUCUUCGCGAACCGGGGACCCAGUGCAACACCGGGGUGAAUCCGCGAGCUGCGGCCCGCGGUAGGGCGUACUUCCCGCCCGAAUCCGUCAGCUAACCCGGUAGGCGGCCACGGAAGGAGUG